AUCCGGAAUCAUUGGGCGUAAAGCGCCUGUAGGUUGUUUAAUAAGUCUGUUGUUAAAGACUAGGGCUCAACCCUAGAAAAGCAAUGGAUACUACUAGACUAGAGUAUGGCAGGGGUAGAGGGAAUUUCUAGUGUAGCGGUGAAAUGCGUAGAUAUUAGAAAGAACACCGGUGGCGAAAGCGCUCUACUGGACCAUUACUGACACUCAGAGGCGAAAGCUAGGAUAGCAAAAGGGAUUAGAUACCCCUGUAGUCCUAGCCGUAAACGAUGGAUACUACAUGUUGUAUUUAUUUUACAGUAUGGUAGCUAACGCGUUAAGUAUCCCGCCUGGGGAGUACGCUCGCAAGGGUGAAACUCAAAGGAAUUGACGGGGGCCCGCACAAGCGGUGGAGCAUGUGGUUUAAUUCGAUGCAACGCGAAGAACCUUACCAGGGCUUGACAUACUGCGAAUCUCUUUGAAAGAAGAGAGUGCCUUCGGGAAUGCAGAUACAGGUGGUGCAUGGCUGUCGUCAGCUCGUGUCGUGAGAUGUUGGGUUAAGUCCCGCAACGAGCGCAACCCUUGUUUUUAGUUACCAAUUCGUUGGGUUUUCUAGAAAGACUGCCGGUGACAAACCGGAGGAAGGUGAGGAUGACGUCAAGUCAGCAUGCCCCUUAUGUCCUGGGCUACACACGUGCUACAAUGGUGAGGACAAAGAGUCGCAAGUUUGUAAAAACAAGCUAAUCUCGUAAACCUAACCUAAGUUCAGAUUGUAGGCUGCAACU
rnacentral:rRNA from 1 species